AGAAUAUGAGUGAUAAUCAAUUUUGAUUAAGUCAAAAUUGGACCGGUUCUUGUUUGCAAUUCAACAUCUUAGGUGAAUGUUUUGUAUAAUUUCUCACUUGGGUCUGAUUUCAUGGACACUGAUUUCCAAUUUAAUGGCAUGCACAUGCUUAAACCAUUUCAUAGCUAUUACAUGAUAAUAAAACCCAUCCUUAUGCUUUUAAUUUCUUCAAUUACAUUUAACCAACCAAUAAAUACUCCUGUCUCUCACAAAGUUCAUCGUGUUGCUAGCCUCAUGCACAUUAUAUUCCUUGUUUCAAUUUUUUUACAAUUGCAUUUAUCCAUUCCUUCCUAAUAGAGCUACAACAGACCAUUUCUCUUUAAUAGGUAAUCUCCCAAUUUAAU
rnacentral:lncRNA from 1 species